rnacentral:rRNA from 1 species
UAACACAGGUGCUGCAUGGCUGUCGUCAGCUCGUGUCGUGAGAUGUUGGGUUAAGUCCCGGCAACCGAGCGCAACCCUUGUCCAUUAGUUGCUACAUUUAGUUGGGCACUCGUAAUGAGACUGCCGGUGACAAGCCGGAGGAAGGUGGGGAUGACGUCAAGUCCUCAUGGCCCUUAUGGGUAGGGCGUUCACACGUCAUACAAUGGUCGGUACAGAGGGUUGCCAACCCGCGAGGGGGAGGCUAAUCCCACAAAGCCGAUCGUAGUCCGGAUCGCAGUCUGCAACUCGACUGCGUGAAGUCGGAAUCGCUAGUAAUCGCGGAUCAGCAUGUCACGGUGAAUACGUUCCCGGGUCUU